rnacentral:rRNA from 2 species
CCUACGGGAGGCAGCAGUGAGGAAUAUUGGACAAUGGGCGCAAGCCUGAUCCAGCCAUGCCGCGUGCAGGAUGACGGUCCUAUGGAUUGUAAACUGCUUUUGUACAGGAAGAAACACUGGUUCGUGAACCAGCUUGACGGUACUGUAAGAAUAAGGAUCGGCUAACUCCGUGCCAGCAGCCGCGGUAAU